CGCGCAGGCGGCGCGUUAAGUCCGGGGUGAAAUCCCACGGCUCAACUGUGGGGGGACCCUGGAUACUGGCGUGCUGGAGUGCGGGAGAGGGAAGCGGAAUUCCACGUGUAACGGUGAAAUGUAUAGAUAUGUGGAGGAACACCGGUGGCGAAGGCGGCUUCCUGGACCGUAACUGACGCUGAGGCGCGAAAGCUGGGGGGAGCGAACA
rnacentral:rRNA from 1 species